GUUGCACCAUUCUGAGACCGGAUUGGCUCAAGACCGACUCCAAGCUGUUGUCAGUGGAAACCAUCAAUGGCGUCCGUUGCUAUGGUUACGGCAAGCCGGGCGCUGUGGCUCCAGAUGACGUGUGGUAUGCAGAUGUGUGUGGCAUGCCCUGUCGAUACCACGAGGUGGUGGUGCACAUCGAUCACAACCUGACCUUUGACCGCGAGAGUUUCAAGGUCGGGCCACAGAGCCCAGAACUGUUCGAGUUCCCUCGUUUCUGCAACAAGCCAUGCCCACAUCCGUACAAGCCGCCACACCACUAGGCACUUGUUGUUCGCUGCAGAUGUAGAGAACUUCUGUGUUGCCUUUAACUAAUUGUUUAGAAGUGCUUACUUGUAAUAAAAUUUCCUUCAGUCACUUCAUUUGGAGGUAAUAAAAAGAA